rnacentral:rRNA from 1 species
AGUGAACGCUAGCGGUAGGCCUAACACAUGCAAGUCGAACGGCAGCACAGUAAGAGCUUGCUCUUACGGGUGGCGAGUGGCGGACGGGUGAGGAAUACAUCGGAAUCUACUUUUUCGUGGGGGAUAACGUAGGGAAACUUACGCUAAUACCGCAUACGACCUACGGGUGAAAGCAGGGGAUCUUCGGACCUUGCGCGAUUGAAUGAGCCGAUGUCGGAUUAGCUAGUUGGCGGGGUAAAGGCCCACCAAGGCGACGAUCCGUAGCUGGUCUGAGAGGAUGAUCAGCCACACUGGAACUGAGACACGGUCCAGACUCCUACGGGAGGCAGCAGUGGGGAAUAUUGGACAAUGGGCGCAAGCCUGAUCCAGCCAUACCGCGUGGGUGAAGAAGGCCUUCGGGUUGUAAAGCCCUUUUGUUGGGAAAGAAAAGCAGCAGGUUAAUACCCCGCUGUUCUGACGGUACCCAAAGAAUAAGCACCGACUAACUUCGUG